CCACUUGUUACUGUUCGUCCUCCCAAAUUGUAUUGACUUGUACAUUGUACAUGCAUAAAUAGACACACGGAUACAUGUCACUGCAAAGCAUGAAAAAAUGCUAAACAAAUGACCACCAUAAGUAUAAAUAUAAAAGAUUAUAUCACUCAAUCAAUUUGAGUAAUAUUACAAGACAUAACUUUGGGGAGGCUAAAUCCACAUACCUCUAUCUUAAAUACAUAACUUAAAUGUAUUCAUAAUUGGUAAUUUUAGUGUUCAUGAGAGAACUCUUGGAAUCUUUCUUCCUGCCAGGUUUAGGUUUGAAUUUUAUUCCUGACAGUUGAGUGUAGAAAAGACAUGAAAAGGCAUGUGAGGGUAAAAGGAUGAAAAUAAAAAAUGAAAGGUUUAUGAUAAUGCGUGAAUUUUGCAUUUUUUUUUGAUUUUUGAUAAGUAGGAUGUUUUGAAUCUAACAUCUCCUAUUUUCAAUUCAUUCCACCUUAUAAUCCAACCCAACAUUUCCUCAAAUUUUGCAUUUAGCUAACACAUGGCUUUGCAACUGCAAAUGCCAUCUUGAGUACCACAGAAACAAUCAAAAUAAGGAGCUCCAAGUGGAGAAGCUCUCAUAAAUGCAUCGUGACAUUCUGCUGGUCCACUGCAAUGGCGGCCAAUGUCCAGCUUUUGGAAACAAUAGCGUGGUGGGGGGUCACCUAAAAAAUUGAAAUUAAAUAAAUUAAAUUAUUAAAGCAAAAAAAAAAUUUCCAAUCAGUAUAAUCAGAUUCAACUACUCUUCUUGGUAAAAACUGAAAAUUAUAGUGAAAUAUCUAACAUGUUAAAUUUAUGUACCUAGUAUUCGCUUUGUUUAUACGUAAUUGGUCAAACAUAAUUAUUAAGGAUUAAUCUUUCCUACACUGACAGUGUACACACUAUCAGCGUUGGAUGAAUGACAACUACGCAAAAUUUGAAAUUGAAAUUCAAUUUUGUACACAUGUCAUGAAUCCAACGAUGAUAGUAUAUACACCAUCAGUGUAGGAAAGAUUUACUCAAUUAUUAAAAUGAUCAAAUGCAAUUAAUUUGAGAAUUGAAACAAAAAACAUGAUUAACACAAGAUAAGUUCUUUUCCACAAACUAUUUAGAUCCAAGUAAAGAUAUUCUGUUCUUGAACCAAAAAUAAGAUCCAUUUUCAAUUUAGUCCAAUUAAGGGCUGAUCAUGAUUGAAUAUGUCAAUUUUGACCAGAAUUUGAAGGGCCCGUUAUUUUGAGGAUCAGGUAACAAGCUGCAAAUUUUUGCAUAUUGAUUUGUAUUACCUCCUAACAGAAAUACGUACCUUCAAUGGCAGGAGUGGUUGGGGUGAAGAGACUUUGGAAAACUGAGAGAAACAAUAUCAGCAGAGCUAUAGAGUUCUUCAUUUUCAUUGUCUUUCUU
rnacentral:lncRNA from 1 species